GUUUGUACCUGCUCCUUGCAAAUGUCAGACCCAGGUAGCUUAGAACUGUUGAAGCUGGUGGCUCAGAGGAACAAAGUUGUGAUGAGAAAACUGGGAGGGAGAAAGCAAGGGGACCUUAGACUUUCUGGAGGAUUUGUCAUGUGGGUUUCUUCCUUGACACGUUCCUGCUUCUUUUCCGUGGGAUUCGGAGCACGGUAGAGAAACCCUGCGCUUGCUCCUACAGCUGCUAAAUACAUGAAAUCCAAGGCUGGUGAUGCUCUUAGCGGGGCUGCGGUAUGUGAUGUCCUCACCUCGUCUUCGUCACUUACAUUGACUUGCUUUUCUCCUUCAGCGUGAGCUGGGACAACAUCCUCCCACCUUCUCUGUCUCACUUCCAGACCUCUUUUUUUUUUCUGCGAAAAGCAAGAAGUGUCCAGAAAAGCGCUCACCCCUGCCUAGACCUCCCAAGUGUCUCCAAUGCUUUUUCCUCCUGGGUGAAUUUCUCUGAUGCUGCAAAUCCCACACAUGGAGAGCUGGCAGUUGGCUCCUGGAGAGCAAUUCUCUGUAACGACACCAAGCCCAGGGACCAGGCAUGAGCCAGGCGCUUUGGGAGCCACUUCUGCCUUCCCGAACCAGCUGCCCUGUUUGCUGAACAGCCUCUCGGCUCUGAUUUCACAAAGAAGCCAAGUGACCAGGAGCAAACUGCUCAUUUUCCAAGCAGAAGCUGACAGAAGCAGAGCUGCACUAAGCUGAGUUACAAAUCGCAAGCAAUCAGGCCUGGGUGGAAAGCUGGCAGUCUGCAGUGGAGCCCCAGGUUGUUUGUGCUGGAAGAAGAGUCAUGUGAGGCACACUGGAAAGACAGUGGAGGAAUUUCUGCG
rnacentral:lncRNA from 1 species